GUGUCAACGUCGCUCGCAAAAGAGUGGGAAAACAGCCAAUCAAAAACCAAAGCGAUAACUUUCACUUGCAAGAACUAUGACACAGGAAAGACAUUCAUACGGGGAUGCAUGUGGCAAUUCCGACUCACUACCAGGGAAACAACGAAAAACAAUCGUUUGACGUGGUCGCCCCAGAUCGUGAAAUGUACAAGCAAUCAUCAGAAGCCAAAAUGCCCUCCAUUUACGAGAUGCAAAGAUGACGCAUGCACAAUGUGUGAAAAACUACCAGUUAUCCGUAAGAAAAAAAGCGUCGACGAAUCAUUGACAUGGAAAAAGGUGUUGAAGAUAGACUAGAAAAGAAACAAGAAAGACACUGGAAUACUUCAUUUAUUCGUUAACUUUUGGUUUUAAUCUAGAAAUUGGGAACGCUUUGCACUAUAGUAUAAGUAGAAAUAAUAAACGAACAUGCAGCUAAUUUGAAGAAUUUUUCUUUUGCAUGUUAGAGCUUUUAUGAAGCAGGAUAAGCUUUGUAUAUUACACAAAAUGUAAUAAAUAGAUGGAAACAAGUAGAAUACAUUUUUUGCAAUGCUUUUCGAGAGUUUUUCUUUUCAUGUACG